GAAAUGCGAUAAGUAAUGUGAAUUGCAGAAUUCAGUGAAUCAUCGAAUCUUUGAACGCACAUUGCGCCCGCCAGUAUUCUGGCGGGCAUGCCUGUCCGAGCGUCAUUUCAACCAUCAAGCCCCCGGGCUUGUGUUGGGGACCUGCGGCUGCCCGCAGGCCCUGAAAACCAGUGGCGGGCUCGCUGUCACACCGAGCGUAGUAGCAAUCACCUCGCUCAGGGCGUGCUGCGGGUUCCGGCCGUUACACAACCUUACAAAACCCAAGGUUGACCUCGGAUCAGGUAGGAAGACCCGCUGAACUUAAGC
rnacentral:misc_RNA from 1 species